rnacentral:rRNA from 1 species
GUGUCAGCCGCCGCGGUAAUACGUAGGCAGCAAGCGUUGUUCGGAAUUACUGGGCGUAAAGAGUGUGUAGGCGGUGUUCCAAGUCUGUUGUGAAAUCUCCCGGCUUAACUGGGAGGGUGCGGCGGAAACUGGGAUGCUAGAGGAUGGGAGAGGUAAGCGGAAUUCCUGGUGUAGCGGUGAAAUGCGUAGAUAUCAGGAGGAACACCUGUGGUGUAGACAGCUUACUGGACCAUUUCUGACGCUGAGACACGAAAGCGUGGGUAGCAAACAGGAUUAGAUACCCCCGUAGUCC